CAUACACAACUAAAGAUAUCGUGACGUUAUGUUCCCGCGAUAUUUGUCGCCGUUUCUCAAUUGUUUCAAAAUUUAAAGAGACUGAAGAAAUAUGGCGCACAGUGAGCGAUAGUGGUGACAGAAUUUCCAGGUUUUUCAAUAACUUCUGCUGAUGAGAUGCAGCAACAGGAGGAGAAGAUAGAAAUUAAAAAGAGUAGCAUCAGAGGGUGUAUUAACGAAAACAACAGGAUGUUCUUCUUCCCCCAAGAGAGAAAGGAUAAGAAGAGGAUGGCAGUGGGUGGAAGUAUGUGACAACCUAAAGUCGGUGCUUCCACCUGAAAACUGAAAUUCUGGGUGAUCUGUAGCAGCUACUUUAAAGAAAAGUACUUCAUGAGGAAAAGAUUAACAACAUCAGCAGUUCCAUCACUGAACUUAUUUGGCUGUAAUAAAUAUUGCAUGUCAGAAGCUGCCUCUAUUAAAAUAGAGCAACAAGAUACCUGGAUGCAAAUGAAAAGAAGUAUUCAGUUUACAUAUACAAUAUAUAAAACCAUUAACAUGGUAUUAAUAUAUUAAGUAUAAUCUGUGAGCAGUGUGUGUGUUUUAUUGUAUGUAUG